AGGGUUUGAUUCUGGCUCAGGAUGAACGCUAGCGGCAGGCCUAAUACAUGCAAGUCGGACGGGAUCCAUCGGAGAGCUUGCUCGAAGAUGGUGAGAGUGGCGCACGGGUGCGUAACGCGUGAGCAACCUACCUCUAUCAGGGGGAUAGCCUCUCGAAAGAGAGAUUAACACCGCAUAACAUCAACAGUUCGCAUGUUCGGUUGAUUAAAUAUUUAUAGGAUAGAGAUGGGCUCGCGUGACAUUAGCUAGUUGGUAGGGUAACGGCCUACCAAGGCGACGAUGUCUAGGGGCUCUGAGAGGAGAAUCCCCCACACUGGUACUGAGACACGGACCAG
rnacentral:rRNA from 1 species